AACAGGAUUAGAUACCCUGGUAGUCCACGCCCUAAACGAUGUCUACUAGUUGUCGGGUCUUAAUUGACUUGGUAACGCAGCUAACGCGUGAAGUAGACCGCCUGGGGAGUACGGUCGCAAGAUUAAAACUCAAAGGAAUUGACGGGGACCCGCACAAGCGGUGGAUGAUGUGGAUUAAUUCGAUGCAACGCGAAAAACCUUACCUACCCUUGACAUGGAUGGAAGCCCCGAGAGAUUGGGGCGUGCCCGAAAGGGAACCAUCACACAGGUGCUGCAUGGCUGUCGUCAGCUCGUGUCGUGAGAUGUUGGGUUAAGUCCCGCAACGAGCGCAACCCUUGUCAUUAGUUGCCACAUUCAGUUGGGCACUCUAAUGAGACUGCCGGUGACAAACCGGAGGAAGGUGGGGAUGACGUCAAGUCCUCAUGGCCCUUAUGGGUAGGGCUUCACACGUCAUACAAUGGUACAUACAGAGGGCUGCCAACCCGCGAGGGGGAGCUAAUCCCAGAAAGUGUAUCGUAGUCCGGAUUGCAGUCUGCAACUCGACUGCAUGAAGUUGGAAUCGCUAGUAAUCGCGGAUCAGCAUGUCGCGGUGAAUACGUUCCCGGGUCUUGUACACACCGCCCGUCACACCAUGGGAGUUGGAUUCACCCGAAGGCGUUGCGCUAACUCAGCAAUGAGAGGCAGGCGACCAC
rnacentral:rRNA from 1 species